rnacentral:rRNA from 1 species
GAACUGAAGAGUUUGAUCAUGGCUCAGAUUGAACGCUGGCGGCAGGCCUAACACAUGCAAGUCGAGCGGUAGAGAGAAGCUUGCUUCUCUUGAGAGCGGCGGACGGGUGAGUAAUGCCUAGGAAUCUGCCUGGUAGUGGGGGAUAACGCUCGGAA